UUACGGCCAUAUUACGUUGAAACACCAUUUCCCGUAUGAUCAUAGAAGUUAAGCAACGUUGAGUCUAUUUAGUGUCUAGAAGGGUAGUCGCCUGGGAAUAUCAGGUGCUGUAA